rnacentral:rRNA from 1 species
GACGAACGCUGGCGGCGUGCUUAACACAUGCAAGUCGAACGGAAAGGCCUCUUUCGGGGGGUACUCGAGUGGCGAACGGGUGAGUAACACGUGAGUAACCUGCCCUUGACUUUGGGAUAACUUCAGGAAACUGGGGCUAAUACCGGAUAGGAGCUCCUGCUGCAUGGUGGGGGUUGGAAAGUUUCGGCGGUUGGGGAUGGACUCGCGGCUUAUCAGCUUGUUGGUGGGGUAGUGGCUUACCAAGGCUUUGACGGGUAGCCGGCCUGAGAGGGUGACCGGCCACAUUGGGACUGGGAUACGGCCCAGACUCCUACGGGAGGCAGCAGUGGGGAAUAUUGCACAAUGGGUGGAAGCCUGAUGCAGCAACGCCGUGUGCGGGAUGACGGCCUUCGGGUUGUAAACCGCUUUCUCUCAUGACGAAGCUUUGUGUGACGGUAGUGGGUAAAGAAGCACCGGCUAACUACGUG